CCUACGGGUGGCAGCAGUAGGGAAUAUUGCUCAAUGGGGGAAACCCUGAAGCAGCAACGCCGCGUGGAGGAUGAAGGUUUUCGGAUUGUAAACUCCUUUUGUUAGAGAAGAUAAUGACGGUAUCUAACGAAUAAGCACCGGCUAACUACGUGCCAGCAGCCGCGGUUAUACGGAGGGUGCAAGCGUUACUCGGAAUCACUGGGCGUAAAGAGCGCGUAGGCGGGAUAGCAAGUCAGAUGUGAAAUCCUAUGGCUUAACCAUAGAACUGCAUUUGAAACUGCUAUUCUAGAGUAUGGGAGAGGUAGGUGGAAUUCUUGGUGUAGGGGUAAAAUGCGUAGAGAUCAAGAGGAAUACUCAUUGCGAAGGCGGCCUGCUAGAACAUAACUGACGCUGAUGCGCGAAAGCGUGGGGAGCAAACAGGAUUAGAUACCCCAGUAGUC
rnacentral:rRNA from 1 species